ensembl:lncRNA
GGACACCGUAUUUCAGUCUUCAUUAUCCUCCUCCUCCUCACUGACUUUGUUGAGAUUUUCUUGAGUCCCUACAUACUGUUAAAACAUCUCCUUGAUGAGAUCCCCUCCUAUAAGGAUUGGACAAUUUGGGUUUUGUGGUCUUUAUGGUGGGCAUCAAGAGUCUGUGGUCUCCUCUUAAACCAGCUGGUGGCGCUAGAGGGAAUUCUCUCAGUUAAAUAUCCACUACAGACCUCAAAUAUGAAAGCUGAGAUCAAACCACAAGAUAAGCCAUCAAAGAAAAGCCAGAUGUAGAAAAAAGGAAGAAAGAGCAAGGCACACAGACAGAGCAAGAGAAGAAAUCAACCCAGAUUGGAAACACUCUUAUGCCAUGAGCACAGCGAUGUAGAAAUCUCCUGAAUAUAUCUAGAUUUUCAGCUGGAUAUCACAAAGAGAUCGAAGAAAGACUAGAAUAUGGAAAAUCAUACAUUUCAUUGGGAGCUGGAAGUUGGCUGGCUGGAGAAAAGGGUCAGAUGGUCCAUCUUCAUCUUCAUUAGUGUGUGUGCAGGUCUACCAGCUCUUGCUUGGUCUCUCAGCGAUUUAAUUCAUCACAGAAAGAAUGGACAGCAGAUUUCAUUCUUCAUCAUCCUCCUCCUCCUCACUGACUUUGUUGAGCUUCUCUUGAGUCCAUACAUCCUGGCAAAACAUCUCCUAGAGGAGUUCUCCUGGUACAUGGAUUGGACAUGUUGGUUUUUUUGGGCUUUAUGGUGGUCGUCAAGAGUCUGUGGUCUCCUCUUAAACCAGCUGGUGGCGCUAGAGGGAAUUCUCUCAGUGAAAUAUCCACUGUAUACUGCUUCUGUUUUCUCUUCUCCGCGUUUCAUAAUUUACUACAUACUUGUGUUUCUCUGGAUCAUUAUCGGACAUAUUUUUUUCUACAAGUAUUAUUUGUUUUUUAUUGUUUUUGUGUUGAUUGCAUCAGUGAUAACAUGGGUAAUAUCUUGUGGAGCUUCAUUUUCUGCUGAUCAUCACUCUUCCAGAAAACCAGAUCAUCAUAUUUUGGUUGUUUUCAUAUUCAGUCUGCUGGUAAUUUAUCUGCCCUUCAUUUUACUCAAUUUCAUUUUCAUAAUCAAUCCAGUAUUAUGUCAGUCUCUUCCUGUUUGGCUUAAUCCUAUCUUCUUGAUGAGUGUGAGAUUGAUUUCAGAUCCUCUCCUGUGUGUGCUGGUCUGCAGGCAGAAUCUCAGAAUUCAAACAUCACAAAACCCUGAAGAGACUAGUUCAGUCUGAGUAGGUCUGGUAAGAUGGGUUGGUUGUGAUGUCAUGAUAUUUGACUAUAAAGCUUAAUCUAUUUAACUGUUUCAACAUAAGGAUAUAUAACCAUAAGGUGUCUGCAUAACACACAUGAAUUAUGCUUGUGACACUAUAUUUUUCAGCGUAGUGAACUUCAUCUGCAGUACUGUAUGGUAAACAUUACAGGCUCUCUUUCAUUUCUCUGCAUAAUAACCAGUCUAACAGGCUGCAUUUAAUAAUACAUGCAGAUAUAAAAUGUACAUACAGUAUAAAACACUGUAUUGUUUUGCAUUUAAUCUUCAUCACUUUUUCAUGUUUCUGGUGUAGUCUUU